GAUGAACGCUGGCGGCGUGCUUAACACAUGCAAGUCGAACGGAAAGGCCCAAGCUUGCUUGGGUACUCGAGUGGCGAACGGGUGAGUAACACGUGGGUGAUCUGCCCUGCACUUCGGGAUAAGCCUGGGAAACUGGGUCUAAUACCGGAUAGGACCACUUCUUGGAUGUUGUGGUGGAAAGUUUUUUCGGUGUGGGAUGAGCUCGCGGCCUAUCAGCUUGUUGGUGGGGUAAUGGCCUACCAAGGCGUCGACGGGUAGCCGGCCUGAGAGGGUGUACGGCCACAUUGGGACUGAGAGACGGCCCAGACUCCUACGGGAGGCAGCAGUGGGGAAUAUUGCACAAUGGGCGCAAGCCCGAUGCAGCGACGCCGCGUGGGGGAUGACGGCCUUCGGGUUGUAAACUCCUUUCGCUAGGGACGAAGCGUUUUGUGACGGUACCUGGAGAAGAAGCACCGGCUAACUACGUG
rnacentral:rRNA from 1 species